AGGUGGUCGCAGGUUCGGGCGCCAUCUCCUUCCUUCCCGUACACUGGGAUCAAACAGCCCGCGGCCUGGCGGUGCCGGCCUGGAUCUGGAGGCAGAUGGACCAGAUCCUGGAGCUGGGCACGAAGGAGCUCGAGGUCGACGACUCCGGCUUCGUCCUCCUCCUCUGACGUCGCCACCUUGCUCAGGUCCAACACGCCUAUCCAUCGCCCCAGUUUUUAUCAUUUCAUCGUGAUUACCAUCCCACGCCAUCCAUAGGGUGUGCCUUCUGCCCUUCUCACCACUCUGAACUCUGAGGAAGUGGAAAUUGGGUUGGGGAAGUUUUUUGAGCUCGAAAUUAAACCCAGUUCUAGAAUAGUAGAAGCUGGUGCUGAGAUGGUCGGUAGGCAGUGGCACUCAUAGGUUUCCAUUGCUUCAAAUCUAUUUGGUUUUAGGUGAUUGGGCACCCAAAACUCACAACACUGUUGCUACACAUUAGUUCAGGAAUCAAGGCAAAUAGCGGUAUUUCCCUUUGGGGUGAAUGGACGAACUGAUUAUGGGAAGACCAACCAAGUAGUUUAUACAGUACUCACACAAUUUCUCACACUUCCAGCGAAUUAAACUGAUGAUUAGAUGUGCCUUCUCUCCUUCGUACAUUGUUUGGGGGUUUGGUUUGAGAAGUGGGUUGCAGCACUCAUGAUUUUGCUUGUUUCGGGGAUGGAAUGAAUUGGGCAUCAACAUCUAACACACACACACACACACACACACACACACAGAGAGAGAGAGAGAGAGAGAGAGAGAGAGAGGAGAGAGGAGAGAGGAGAGAGAGAGAGAGGAUGAUUCUCUUUAUUACGUCAACCAUGUAGUAGAAACAAGAUAGAACUAAACAGCUAGGGUUUUGAAGUUGACUCGGUAGCUGAAUCAUGGUCCAUGAAUUUGUGUAAAACGACAAGUGCGCUGCUGAAUUAAAAUUCUACCUGUUCAUUCCACUGCCCAGUUACCAUCUGAAAGGUUCUAUUUUGCCACCGCAACUCUAAUUAGAUUGUUAUAGUUCAGACUAAGGGGAUCAAGAUUGGUCAUCUGUUAGCUAUGUACUGUGGACCUCAACACUAGCUGAGUACCUAUGCAGCUAAUCAUUGAUCUUGUCUUGGGUGAAAGGCUGGCGUUUGUUAAUUCAGAUACUGAAAGGUAACCCACACUGACUUUAUUUGUUUACUUUCCUUCUGAACUCUUAUUUGCUUAGCUUCUAUUGAUGAUAUUUCUAAUCUUUUAUCUUCGUCGGUAAACUCAACUGCAUCUCAGUUUUCUGUUCCCAUUUCCUGGAUUGCGGGUCCUGAUGCGCAAGAUUCUUCUGUUUGCUACGGCACACGCAGGCCUGGACGAUGGCAAGCAUUGGCGUGCGCACGUCGUUGCAACAGACACACCUCAACCCUCCCGACGCACGCAAUAAUCAGCGGUGCCAAAAUGAUUUGGUGUUUGCAAGGGUCGCUUUUGUUGCAUUUUCUACGUGAGAAACCAUCUCAGGCUAUUUGGAUGCACCUGCACAGUACUGAUAGUACAUGAAAUUCAUCAACCUGCUGUUGCCGCAACCAACCAAAAUUUGCUCUAGCAGAGUGAUGAAUACAAUAUUCAUGCUAAGCUUUCUUCAAAUUAUGCUAAUUGAUCUUAAAAAGCUGGCUACUGGUGUUAUUUGCUGCAAUUUAUUUCUGACAGCCAGGUAGUCUUGGAAUGCUUUCGUGAUGCAAUUUAUUUCUGACAGACAAGCUAUGCUAAUUGAUCUUGAAAAGCUGGCUACUGGUGUUAUCUGCUUUGUGGAAGGCUGUUAGCAUUAAACUUUAGUGCUCGGCUGUUCAUCAUAGUCUCAUUCCCUAGAUGAUUAAUGAGGCAUGAAAAAUAGGUGAAAUUGCAGGAAAAUUGAAGAUGGGAACACGAUUCAUUUUGUCAAUGGGAACAUCUACUGUUACAGAUACACUUUCUGUAUUCUACCUAUCGAUGGCGUAAUGUUUGAAUAUUAAGUCAUUUCUUUUUGUCAUUAGCAGGUGCUUUUAUUUAUGUUCAUAUUCCACGUAUGCAUGUGCUGCUCCGGUGGUGUUUUAUUAGUUGAUUGGCAUAUAUGGAUCUCUCCAUGUUUAUUAGUUGAUCUCCAACCCCUACUCUGCUGUGGUGUUGUGGGAGCAAGAAGAGCAUGCAUGCUUUCUCUCUACAUCUAGGGUCCAUACGGCCAGAUUGACGGGCCUAAACUCUGGGUUUCUUUCAAGAAUCAUGAGAGAACAUUCAAGGAGUGGCUUAUUUGGAAAUUAGAACCUUCAGAUUUCUUAGAAGUGAGGUUACUUUCCAACUAGAAUUAUAGGCAAGCAUUGGUCUUUAAUUUGGAAGUGAUUGUCAUGUCUAAGAAGGGAGAUCAACCCGGUUUGGUGUACAUGAUCUUCACUCGGAUUUAUGUGAAUAUAAGCGUAAGAGGUCUAGUGGCAAUGCUACAAAAUCAUUGCAGGCGUGAGUAUCCGGAUUGCACUACUGCUGGCCGUUUCUUGCGAUUGCGUACAACAGGCUUCUGACAAAGCCAAGUCAUGGCCUCAUUAGGCCCCUUUUUUCAGCCAAACUGAAAGCACUUCAUGUUAGCUUGUAUUCGCUUUUGGAUUAACUACAAUGCAUUGUACCCAUCCAUGCUCCAGGGAUAUAAUAACGUUGUAGAUAGACGGAGACUGAAUCAGUUCACACUACUUUGAUGUCUAUCGAGCCAAUGGGACAACAAAGUCCUUGCAGAAAAGAAGAACUGGAAGCAGGUUAUCUAUCUUCACGAGCAAGUCGGCAUCUGUAAACCUUCACCGGAGCCAUUCCAGCUCUUUCAGAGCCACAAGGCAAGGAAGUUGAGGAACCAAGACCCCAACGGUGCGGAGCAGUUUGCCAUCGAGAGGACUAGGGCUGCCAUCAGGGACCUCUAAACCAAGCUCAACAUCCCAAUUUGACUACCUCUACGGGAUAGACCUCAACAGAAAACUGUUGAGUGCCUCCAUCAACACCGUGUCCUGGAGGGUCGUCGCCGUCCGCGACGACGAGCUACUGCCGCAGCUUUGUCAGCCGCAUGGUUAGAGGGAGGCAUCAAGGGCCUGCCACCGCUGCCGGGGCCGACGUGCGUGUAAUUUCUAUUAAUGUAUCUUAUGUUGCCAAACAACAACAUGCUCCUGUCAAUGCUAUAUCGUUGUGGGCGUGGCAUUUCAGUUUCUUCCUCAGGUGAUAUUCCAAUAUAAUAAGUUCCAUCAA